rnacentral:rRNA from 1 species
GACGAACGCUGGCGGCGUGCUUAACACAUGCAAGUCGAACGGAAAGGCCCUGCUUUUGUGGGGUGCUCGAGUGGCGAACGGGUGAGUAACACGUGAGUAACCUGCCCUUGACUUUGGGAUAACUUCAGGAAACUGGGGCUAAUACCGGAUAGGAGCUCCUGCUGCAUGGUGGGGGUUGGAAAGUUUCGGCGGUUGGGGAUGGACUCGCGGCUUAUCAGCUUGUUGGUGGGGUAGUGGCUUACCAAGGCUUUGACGGGUAGCCGGCCUGAGAGGGUGACCGGCCACAUUGGGACUGAGAUACGGCCCAGACUCCUACGGGAGGCAGCAGUGGGGAAUAUUGCACAAUGGGCGGAAGCCCGAUGCAGCAACGCCGCGUGCGGGAUGACGGCCUUCGGGUUGUAAACCGCUUUCGCCUGUGACGAAGCGUGAGUGACGGAAAUGGGUAAAGAAGCACCGGCUAACUACGUG